AGAGUUUGAUCCUGGCUCAGGAUGAACGCUGGCGGCGUGCUUAACACAUGCAAGUCGAACGAAGCACUUUUAUUUGAUUUCUUCGGAAUGAAGAUUUUAGUGACUGAGUGGCGGACGGGUGAGUAACGCGUGGUAACCUGCCUCAUACAGGGGGAUAACAGUUAGAAAUGACUGCUAAUACCGCAUAAGACCACAGCACCGCAUGGUGCAGGGGUAAAAACUCCGGUGGUAUGAGAUGGACCCGCGUCUGAUUAGGUAGUUGGUGGGGUAACGGCCUACCAAGCCGACGAUCAGUAGCCGACCUGAGAGGGUGACCGGCCACAUUGGGACUGAGACACGGCCCAAACUCCUACGGGAGGCAGCAGUGGGGAAUAUUGCACAAUGGGGGAAACCCUGAUGCAGCGACGCCGCGUGAGCGAUGAAGUAUUUCGGUAUGUAAAGCUCUAUCAGCAGGGAAGAAAAUGACGGUACCUGACUAAGAAGCACCGGCUAAAUACGUGCCAGCAGCCGCGGUAAUACGUAUGGUGCAAGCGUUAUCCGGAUUUACUGGGUGUAAAGGGAGCGUAGACGGAGUGGCAAGUCUGAUGUGAAAACCCGGGGCUCAACCCCGGGACUGCAUUGGAAACUGUCAAUCUAGAGUACCGGAGAGGUAAGCGGAAUUCCUAGUGUAGCGGUGAAAUGCGUAGAUAUUAGGAGGAACACCAGUGGCGAAGGCGGCUUACUGGACGGUAACUGACGUUGAGGCUCGAAAGCGUGGGGAGCAAACAAGAUUAGAUACCCUGGUAGUCCCCCCCGUAAACCAUGACUACUAGGUUUCGGGCAGCAAAAGCUGUUUGGGUGCCGCAGCAAACGCAAUAAGUAGUCCACCUGGGGAGUACGUUCGCAAGAAUGAAACUCAAAGGAAUUGACGGGGACCCGCACAAGCGGCGGAGCAUGUGGUUUAAUUCGAAGCAACGCGAAGAACCUUACCUGCUCUUGACAUCUCCCUGACCGGCAAGUAAUGUUGCCUUUCCUUCGGGACAGGGAUGACAGGUGGUGCAUGGUUGUCGUCAGCUCGUGUCGUGAGAUGUUGGGUUAAGUCCCGCAACGAGCGCAACCCCUAUCUUUAGUAGCCAGCGGUUUGGCCGGGCACUCUAGAGAGACUGCCAGGGAUAACCUGGAGGAAGGUGGGGAUGACGUCAAAUCAUCAUGCCCCUUAUGAGCAGGGCUACACACAUGCUACAAUGGCGUAAACAAAGGGAGGCAGAACCGCGAGGUCGAGCAAAUCCCAAAAAUAACGUCUCAGUUCGGAUUGUAGUCUGCAACUCGACUACAUGAAGCUGGAAUCGCUAGUAAUCGCGAAUCAGAAUGUCGCGGUGAAUAAAUUCCCGGGUCUUGCACACACCGCCCGUCA
rnacentral:rRNA from 1 species